GACGAACGCUGGCGGCGUGCUUAACACAUGCAAGUCGAACGGAAAGGCCCUGCUUUUGUGGGGUGCUCGAGUGGCGAACGGGUGAGUAACACGUGAGUAACCUGCCCUUGACUUUGGGAUAACUUCAGGAAACUGGGGCUAAUACCGGAUAGGAGCUCCUGCGCCAUGGUGGGGGUUGGAAAUUUUCGGCGGUUGGGGAUGGACUCGCGGCUUAUCAGCUUGUUGGUGGGGUAGUGGCUUACCAAGGCUUUGACGGGUAGCCGGCCUGAGAGGGUGACCGGCCACAUUGGGACUGAGAGACGGCCCAGACUCCUACGGGAGGCAGCAGUGGGGAAUAUUGCACAAUGGGCGGAAGCCUGAUGCGGCAACGCCGCGUGCGGGAUGACGGCCUUCGGGUUGUAAACCGCUUUCGCCUGUGACGAAGCGUGAGUGACGGUAAUGGGUAAAGAAGCACCGGCUAACUACGUG
rnacentral:rRNA from 1 species